rnacentral:rRNA from 1 species
UGACGUCAAGUCAUCAUGGCCCUUACGACCAGGGCUACACACGUGCUACAAUGGCGCAUACAAAGAGAAGCGACCUCGCGAGAGCAAGCGGACCUCAUAAAGUGCGUCGUAGUCCGGAUUGGAGUCUGCAACUCGACUCCAUGAAGUCGGAAUCGCUAGUAAUCGUGGAUCAGAAUGCCACGGUGAAUACGUUCCCGGGCCUU